GUGACCAGGGGUCAUGUGACCAAGCUCAUGAAUGCCUUUCUUACAGGGGGAUAAGCUUUAGCCUUUGAUAUUUUAAUUGGGUAAUUCAAUACCUUUACAAGUCAGGAGAGAGAAAACCACUUCCCCCUAUCUCCAUUCCUCCCUGUUCCUUCUUGGUUGUUCUACUGAGCAGACAUGGGCUAAUUCUUGUCAUGGUGAACUAUGUUACAGUCUGUUGCUUCCUUUUCUUCCUUGGUGGAUGUGAUGUUGAACUUGCAGCAGUGAGCCAUUACUAGAUGUGAAGCCCUAACCGUGGGUGAGAUCAAACAUGUG